UGGCUGAGUGGUAAAGUGCCUGGCUUCCAAUCAGGGGUCCUGGGUUCGAAUCCUGG
rnacentral:tRNA from 1 species